AAGGUUUUAAGUUAAAGUUAAACUUUUAUCCUUCAAAGUUAAUAAUAUAAAUGAAAUUUAUAAGCCUUA
rnacentral:tRNA from 1 species